UGGGUAUUGGAUUUUUAUCAACUACUUUUUACACACCCAUUGAAAUGAUGGCACUCCCUACCCCCACUGUAUUAGUGUAGUAUUAUAUUGUUCCAUGAGUUUGGAAGCCCAAGGUUGGGUCUUUUUGUUGUUGUUGAAAUGUAGAUCAAACA